AUUGAACGCUGGCGGCAGGCCUAACACAUGCAAGUCGAGCGGCAGCGGGAAAGUAGCUUGCUACUUUUGCCGGCGAGCGGCGGACGGGUGAGUAAUGCCUGGGAAAUUGCCCAGUCGAGGGGGAUAACAGUUGGAAACGACUGCUAAUACCGCAUACGCCCUACGGGGGAAAGCAGGGGACCUUCGGGCCUUGCGCGAUUGGAUAUGCCCAGGUGGGAUUAGCUAGUUGGUGAGGUAAUGGCGCACCAAGGCGACGAUCCCUAGCUGGUCUGAGAGGAUGAUCAGCCACACUGGAACUGAGACACGGUCCAGACUCCUACGGGAGGCAGCAGUGGGGAAUAUUGCACAAUGGGGGAAACCCUGAUGCAGCCAUGCCGCGUGUGUGAAGAAGGCCUUCGGGUUGUAAAGCACUUUCAGCGAGGAGGAAAGGUUGGCGCCUAAUACGUGUCAACUGUGACGUUACUCGCAGAAGAAGCACCGGCUAACUCCGUGCCAGCCGCCGCAGUAA
rnacentral:rRNA from 1 species